ACAGAGGCUGGUUAGGUCUUCUUCUCCUUCCUCGUUUCUCUCUAGAAAUGUUCCCCACUCAAUUUCCUCUCUGCUCAAAUCUCACGAAUCUAACUGUUUAAAUCACAAAUUGCAACCCAUCUGAUAGCAACACAAAAGCCCUAAUCAGAAAAUGUGACUCCAUCAAGUAUAUACUCCAAUCUUAAACUCAAAUUCCUUUUCCGUGGUAUGUACAGUUAGCGAUAAUGACAAUGUCAACGAUUUCACAUAGGAUUUUCACAUAUUUCACCUACAAUUUCUCUGACCCAGUUGAAAAUCUAUAGGAACGAAAAGAAAUUCAUACAAUUACAAUUUGACGUGAGGAGUCAGCGGGAUUCAGGGUUUUCAGUCCAAUGCUUAACUUCUGUCGGCCUCCGAAAAAAUUAAUAAACUAUUUUUUGAUUCGCGGUCUUGACAGCACUCUCCAAUCUCUCUCUCUCUCUAUCUCUUUCUCUAGCAAAAUUGAGUAGUAAUUCUAUGUUACUCAUAAAAGUUGGGUUGUUAUUUUCUUGGUAGCAGAAGCGCGAACAUUGGUAGUUUUUGGGUAUUUAUUUGUUUUUUCUUUAAGGGUUAUUGUUAUUUUGUUGUUUCAGUUUGUUUUGUUAGUAGUGAAAGGAACUGAGGGUAUUUGUAUUGGCCAAAAGAGGAGGAAUAAAAGUUCAGGGUAGUGAUUAAGAGCACAUUGAAGAAAAUGUCAAAUGGUAAUUUUGUUCUUGACAUGAAGGAUAAAUGUGGUGUUGGAGGUGUUGAUAUUAUGUUUUUAGAAGAUAGAGCUACUGAAGAUUAGCCUAUCACCCCAUAGACCUUUUCAUUUGCUAGGUAAUCCAAACUAUUUGUUGGCUAAUUCUUUGAUUGUCUAGCUUUUGCUUAACGUUGCUAUGGACUGUGUUAACUUUUCCUGCUAUACCCCAAAAAAAUAUGAUAGUGCUUCAUGUUUAAUUGUGUAAUUCUUUGUUAUCUGUAAACUAAAAUAAUGGGAUCUAAUGUGUAGUUGGAAUAGUGUUAUUAUCCUUUUUUUUUCUUUAGAUUAAGUUCUAUUCAGUUAGUUUCCUGCUCCAGGAGAAACCAUUUAGUUAUUAUUGAUUUAUGCAGCUGGAUUUAUUAAUUAAUGGAUGUUUGGUUGUGAAAAUAAUUGAUUUAUGUGAAGUUGUCAACUAUGUGAUAAUUAGUCCUUGACAACCAUCUUUAUAGAGUUAUGUUGAUAUAGCUUGUUAUGGGAUUCACACUACAACAAAGGACAUGCCUUUGCUGUGGUGGAGAGAGAUGCUAUCACCCGACUUUCAACCUCAUGCUGUUUCAAGCCAAGAACUUCAGGAGAAGAAAUUAAUGGACAGUUUCUUUCAAUAUUAAGUUUCCUCUCAAGGAUACAUGUCUAUGAUGCUUCUUCAGGUGACGCAAGAGGAGAAGCAGAAAAUACACGGCCCCUUGAA